GAAGCAUAUAAACUGUUUCUUACAUGUAAUUUUAUUUGCAGUAUUUGAAUGUUAUGCCUAAGGAGGAAAGCAAGUCUUUCCUGACUUUUGUUAUUCCUCAUGAAAAAGAGAAGCUAUUGACGGUACAAAACCCUCACUUUGUCAACUGUUCCUUAUUUCAAUCGUUAAUGUAUGAUUUUAAUGAAAAAUUCAAAGGUUAAUAAUGCAAAAAGGGUUCAAAAAUAAAAAGAGACACAAUUAAAAUGGGUUUUAAAAAUUUAUCGUACUAACGUACUUAUUUGGAUAAAAAUUCUAUCAGAAAUUUUUUGAGGAGCUCCAAGAGAAAGUGAAAGAAUACGGCAUAGCAGACAUCCAACUUGGUCUUACAACUUUGGAAGAAGUUUUUCUGAAUAUAGUAAAACAGGCUGAAUUGGAAAGUGCUGCGUCUGAGGGAAGCUUUGCAACUAUGACUCUAAACUCAGGAAUUUCAGUUCAGGUAAAGCAUAUUUGCAUUACUCAGUUCAUACUAGUGUAAGUGUGUCCAGCUAAGCCUAAAAAAUACUUAAUAAAUAAAUAAUUUUCUUGUUGGUACAAUUUUAAUUUUUUUUUGCCGGAAAAUCCACUUGAACUUGGGCGAGUUUUAGGUUGACUCAACUAAGCCAAGUGGUUGCCCUCCUGCCCAGAUAUUGAUAGAAAGGAUUAUUACAUAGAGGGGGACGUGGACCUUACCUCCUAGUUGAACAAAUGAGGAGUUUAGAUCAGCUAAAUUACUAAAUUCAACAACGAAUUAAGUGAGCAGACUAACAAACCCUUUGUGUCCUUGGCGAUUAUUUACACUCUUAAAGUUGGAAGCCCCUUAUAUCUGGGCGCAAAAUUCUUUUGAUUUCACCAGUUAGCUCUUGAGGGUAUAGUAGCUUGAACUGCCUUUCUUUAUACUCAGUAUGAGCCACCAAUCAGUGACCCCAUUACUUUCUCUCCAAAAGGCAACAGCAUCGCUUUGAAACUAUCAUUCUUCCGCUAAUAUUGAAUUUCCUCCAACUGGUAUUGUACUCUGCACGGCCAUGUAGAUUGUUUGCAAAUUAAUUUAAUAGAGGCCUUGGAAAGAACCUCCAUACUUCCUUAGCAACAAUGCCAUAUAAUAGCACAUGUUCAACUAAUUCAUAUUUUGCCACCGGAACUUACAAGUUCUGCUAAUUUUCAUUAUAAUUUGCACCUCUUCUGUCUAAUGUCAAUAAGUCGUGCCAUGUUUUCCAUGUGAAAAAUGAGACCUUUAAAGUGAUAAAUUUCUUCCAUAUUUAUUUGUCCAAGGAUUUGAUAUUUAUCCUUUGCCCAAGUACUUCCAACAUAGAGCACUAGAGGCUCCAUUGCUAAUUAGUUUGCAGUAGAUUAUGUCAUGGCCUUUAAUAUAAGGAGGAAUUCUUAUUAUAUCUUCGAUCAUACAAUUAAGCUGUAAAGUAUUAAGCGUACCUACAUCCAAAGCUGCUCUCUUUCAUAAGUUGAACAGUUAUGAGUUAGUGCUCCGAUUGUCAGACCAAAAGGAAAUAUUUCCCAGCCUCAGUUUCCAAAAUACGUGGUUCUGAUGCUUCCCUAACGGCUAGAAGUCUCUUCCAAACAGACAAGUCUUUCCCUUAGUUUGAUCUUGACAAGGAUGAUAAUUUUGACAAUACCUAGAUUUAGUAUCCCGAACGCAGUUUGUGCCCUAAAUUUCCACCAGAGCUUCCAUGAAAGAAGUAAGUUAAUUAUUUUGAAAGUAAAUUUUAUCUUAAUGCGCAGGUACCUGUAGGUGCGAGGUUUGUUGGGGUUCCAGGAACUGAAUCUACAGAAAAUCCAAGAGGAAUUAUGGUAGAGGUAUAUUGGGAACAAGAUGAUGCCGGAGCACUCUGCAUUUCCGGUCACUCAGAUGAGACACCAAUCCCUCCUCAUGUACAACUAAGAGCAACAUCUGCUCCCACAUCUGGCAUAAGUAUUUUGGGCCGAAGACAGCAAAUUCAUGGAAUUGUAAUUGACCCUGACCAAAUCACCAAUUCAAAUAUGUGAUCUUUGUUGAAAUGUUAUCUAGUAGGAUAUUUAGUGUACACAAUAAUUAGAAAUGGUGUUGAGAAUCAAUUUUCUUUUUUUUUUUCCCCUGUAUCUUUGCAUAAACAUAGGAUGUAUCAUUCCUUUUCCAGCCAACAUUAUAUGCUUGUAAUAUUUAAAAAGUUAUAUACUAGGGCAAUAUUCAGA
rnacentral:lncRNA from 1 species